rnacentral:lncRNA from 1 species
UAGCCCUUUCCUUCUCUACAUCCUCCUACUAACUCCUAUUUUUAUGGUUCAAACCUGUGACCGUUAGGUCACAGGCAACAACUUUGUCAGUUAUAGCUCUUUUUCAGAGCUUUUCUCCACUGUGUGGGAUUAUGCUGGGUUGUUGUCGUUGUUGUUGUUGUUGUUGCUUCUAUUGUUGUUCCGAAAUAAUGAGAGAGAGGCCUCAAAUUCUUCCCGCAUCAGAAGAUAUAUGGAUUGUAAACUGCUGCUCAUCUCUCUUAACUUCUACUGGUGUGGCGCUUCACUCCUUUUGCUUUCCCUGGAGUGGGGUGGUGAUAUCUACUAACUUUUGCAUCCCACACCAGUGCAAUGUCUGAAGAAGUGGCUUCACAAUAGUAGUACUUGCGAGACCCCAUACUCGCCAAGUUUUUCACC